UCUUUUUCUUUUUUUUUUCCCCCCCCUUUCUCUCACUUUCUUUUUGUUCAUGCCCGCAAAAAAUGUAAAAAGGA
rnacentral:ribozyme from 1 species